ensembl:miRNA Mir694 microRNA 694
AAAGGCCAGCUCAGGCAUCGCUUUCAACCCAAGACCAGGCUGAAAAUGUUGCCUGAAGCAGUCUCUGCCU